AGUGAACGCUGGCGGUAGGCCUAACACAUGCAAGUCGAACGGCAGCACAGUAAGAGCUUGCUCUUACGGGUGGCGAGUGGCGGACGGGUGAGGAAUACAUCGGAAUCUACUUUUUCGUGGGGGAUAACGUAGGGAAACUUACGCUAAUACCGCAUACGACCUACGGGUGAAAGCAGGGGAUCUUCGGACCUUGCGCGAUUGAAUGAGCCGAUGUCGGAUUAGCUAGUUGGCGGGGUAAAGGCCCACCAAGGCGAGGAUCCGUAGCUGGUCUGUGAGGAUGAUCGGCCACACGGGAACUGAGACACGGACCAGACUCCUACGGGAGGCAGCAGUGGGGAAUAUUGGACAAUGGGCGCAAGCCUGAUCCAGCCAUACCGCGUGGGUGAAGAAGGCCUUCGGGUUGUAAAGCCCUUUUGUUGGGAAAGAAAAGCAGCAGGUUAAUACCCCGCUGUUCUGACGGUACCCAAAGAAUAAGCACCGGCUAACUUCGUG
rnacentral:rRNA from 1 species